UUUCCCAUAAAAAAAAAAAAGGAACUGGUAAGAACUCUUAUUUGUCCUGAUCCAGUCCAUGAAGUUAGAACCAAGAAUUAGGGUGUCAUAGAAAUGAACUUUGCAUGGGCAAAUGAGAGCCUAGACUUCAAUCUUACUGUUCUUUUUAUCAAUCAUCAUCACUCCCUUUUAGCAAUUUUCUUGGUGGUGACAGUGGCUGAUGUUACUAAAACAAGCUGUCCCCACUCUUACUCUCCGUUUUCUAAAUCUAGGCCAAUCCAAAUCAGAUCCUUUCCGUCCUAAGCUUACGCGGCAAUGGAAGCUUCAUGGCUGUUUCCAAACUCAUUGGCUUACAAACUUCUUUCCAUUGAUUGAAAUGACACAAGAAAAAAAAAUCUUUCCAAAAUGAUUUUUCGUAAUAAAUAAUUGAUCAAACUAUAUUCCUCCAGGCUCUAUCCCAAUUUUAAUGUUGUUUUUAAACUUUUUCUCUUAUGCUUUGCUUCGUUGAAGUAGUAACUAGUAAGGCCUUCAACACGAGUGACAAUAACAAGCUUCCUUUCAUAACAUCUGUUGCCCUUAAAUGGCCCUAUAAUCAUGUGAAAAAGUGAAGUGUGGCAAGCAAAUGAUGAAGCUAAAUCAGAAGAGCAAAGACAAGGCAAGUCAGGUUUGGAGGAAACUUCCCCGAAGCAUCAUAUCAAGUUUCAAACAUUUUAGUACGAAACAACAAGCAAUAGGAUCUUUAAGUCAUAAUAAAAGGGAUUUAGCCCCAAAUCACAGGCUUUGAGUACUGCUUAAAUUUUUUAUGCUGAUUUACGGUAAAGCAAUGAAGCUUCAUAGCUCCUACGCACUUCCAUACAAGUCCCCUCAAACAUUUCCUUCUUUAAUGUUGUUAUCCAUGUCUUUAGCUGGUUUUGGAACUUUCUGGCCCCUUUGUGGCCAAGAAAGCUAGCUUCACUGAGACAUCAGACCACCAGUUUUUAACGUGUGCAAGACUAGCACAAUUCACCUGCAUUGGAACUAAAAACUACAGAUAUAAAGUUGAAGAAUGGAACAAACUAGGUGUCACAUGUUGUAAAAACUUUGAAAGAGAUUAAUGUAGAAUCCAUCGCAUUUUGAUAGUUGAUUUUUUUUUUAUACGUCAAGUUUCGCUGAUUUGUCAUUGAACUCAAUUAAAUAAUUUUCCAAUAAAAUAAUUAUGGAAAUAAUAAGAACUAAUCAAAUACGAAUUCAUGAGCUAAUUGAGGGCCCAAAAAGCUAACAUCACGAGUCCAAUAAACAAGCAAGAUGGGCUCCCAUGAGGCCGAAACUUUUUUUGCAACAAACCCAACAUUUGCUUGAAAAGCCCAAAGUUUCAAAACUUUUUGUCUCAACGUGGGCAUUUAUUAACACAAGGGCGAGCGGUGCACCUCCACUCUUGUUCCGUUCAUUGGAGAGCUUCCGGAGAAACCUGUCCCGGUCACAUUUUCCUGCUAAUGAAGCCUUUCGUGGAGAAAGCUUGGCUCCAAAUCUUAAACCCAACCCUGUUUUCAAUCUAUUGUGUAACCAGAAUUCUUAAAUCCCAACUCAGGAGAAACUCUGUCGAACAUAUUCUCCAAGCUCACCUAAUGGCCCAAGAUAGCCUUUCGGAGUGCACGAAGCCAAAACGGCGGCAUGGCUCAAUUCCCGAGAAAGCUGUUUUACCUUGAAGAGCCUCUCCUAUCACCGCUGCGCGGGGGAGGUUGCGGUGUCAGCGACAGGGACAGCUUUGGUCCCAACUGAUUUAAGCAUUGGGAUACCAGAAGGAACAUAUGCUUGUCGCGAAGAUCUGGGUUGGCAUUGAAGAAUUCCGUCGAUGUUGGAGCUGGGGUGAUCAAUGGUGAUUAUAGAGGACGUGUUCGGGUGAUUCUGGUUAAUCAUUCUGAUGUUGAUUUCCAGGUGAAACAUGGCGAUAGGAUUGCCCAGUUAUGACUCCUAAGGCUUUGGAAGAUGAGGACUUUGGAUUCUACUCUCAGAGGAACUGAAGGAUUUGGGUCCACCGGGAUUUGGUCAUUUCUCUUAUUUUCUUUGUAGAUGCAUUAGUGUUAGAUUUUGUUUUGUUCGAUGGAGACGGCCUUAUGGAAGAUGAUUAUGAUCAAAAGCCACAGCUUUGGUUUCUUUUGGGGCUCUUGGGCGUAUGAUUUUCUUUGUAAAUGACUAGAUGGAAACACUGCUUGACAUUGUGAUUACAUCAGAUAAUCUAGAACACAAAUGAAUGACACAACAAAAAUAAAAUAAAAAUGAG